CGCGAACGCUGGCGGCAGGCCUAACACAUGCAAGUCGAACGAACCCUUCGGGGUUAGUGGCGGACGGGUGAGUAACACGUGGGAACGUGCCUUUAGGUUCGGAAUAACUCAGGGAAACUUGUGCUAAUACCGAAUGUGCCCUUCGGGGGAAAGAUUUAUCGCCUUUAGAGCGGCCCGCGUCUGAUUAGCUAGUUGGUGAGGUAAUGGCUCACCAAGGCUACGAUCAGUAGCUGGUCUGAGAGGAUGACCAGCCACAUUGGGACUGAGACACGGCCCAAACUCCUACGGGAGGCAGCAGUGGGGAAUCUUGCGCAAUGGGCGAAAGCCUGACGCAGCCAUGCCGCGUGGAUGAUGAAGGUCUUAGGAUUGUAAAAUCCUUUCACCGGUGAAGAUAGUGACUGUAGCCGGAGAAGAAGCCCCGGCUAACUUCGUGCCAGCCGCCGCGGUAACAC
rnacentral:rRNA from 1 species